GCCCCCAACCCCGGGCUCGACCCAACUUUCCAGGACAGUAGACACGGCCGGUGCCCCCGCGACAGCAGCCCGGCCCAGUUCUCUCCGCCAGAGAUCUCCCGCUUACCGUCUGGGGCGAAGGCGACAGGCUGAGGCUCAGUUUUUUCACUCGCCACAUCUUCAACCAGAAGGCAGGCCUAUCACGUCUCAGACCAAGUCGAGGACGCCAUGUUCACCCGCCGUCUGUGUUUGAACCUGCUCUGCGCUUCCUGGUUGGCUGCUUCAGGCGCGCGCGUACGCUCGGGGGUAGAGCCCGGGGGGCGGGGCCCGCGUUGACCACGCCCCCGGCCCUGCCUGCCCCUCCGUUGUCGAGCGUUUUCCGCUGACGGAGCCCUCACCUCAGACACCGGCGGUAGGGCUGGAUGCGGGCCCGGCCCAGGACCGGUCUUCUGUCCUCACACCGGGGAGGACCACGCAGGAAGGAGCUGAGUCAGAGAGACCGUGUGUAAUUUGCUCAGCGUCACACAGAUAGUAAACGGCAGAGCCGCUCUUCCUCCCUGUCCCGCCAGCUCCUGCCUUCUGCUGUCUUGGAUCUCCUAUGCACGGGAAACCUGUUGAAGGUAGGACAGCCGAAAGGUCAGUAUUCAGAGUGAGCCGUUUGCGAAGGUGUGUGUGCUUUGCACACUCACGGCGCCCUGUUUACACUCUGCAAGUCUUAAUACAUAGGGGGAAAGCAGCAGUCCAAAGAGGAGGAACUAUGAUGUUAUAAACUGCAGCGUCCUCAGGGACGGGCUCCUCUAGCAUUGUGUUGUCCAGUACGUUAGCCCUAGCCAUAGUGGCUUUUGAGCACUUCAGAUGUGACUAGUCCCAGUGGGAAUGUGCUAUAAAUGUAAA
rnacentral:lncRNA from 1 species